UCAGAAUUGUUGUUUUUGAAGAAAAUCAUGAUGAAGAGAGGUAUCAUUGUCCUAAUGCUGGUGGCUUUGUUCGCUCUUUUUAACCAGAGCUAUGGAGACAAUUUGUGUACUUAUUUUGGGUCGGAAUUGUCACCAUGUGUUCAUAGUUCUUCAUACUGUCGUAGAGAAUUUAAAAGUAAACAUGGGUUCUAUCCUCAAGAUUGCACUUGUAGAGAAUUUAUGAAGCACCAUGUUUAGUUUACUUUAAUAUAUGAGUUAUUAUAUGUUGGGUUCUUCCAUUUUAA